AGCAGCCGCGGUAAUUCCAGCUCCAAUAGCGUAUAUUAAAGUUGUUGCAGUUAAAAAGCUCGUAGUUGAACUUCGGGGUUUGCCCAUUGGUCAGGCUUAAUUGUCUGCACUGGUGAGAUGAAUCUCUACCUUCUGAGGAACUUUCAUGCCAUUUAUUUGGUGUGAUGGGAAAUCAGGACUGUUACUUUGAAAAAAUUAGAGUGUUUAAAGCAGGCUAACGUCUGAAUACAUUAGCAUGGAAUAAUGAAAUAGGACGGACUGAUUCUAUUUCGUUGGUUUCUAGGAUCACCGUAAUGAUUAAUAGGGACAGUUGGGGGCAUUAGUAUUCAAUUGUCAGAGGUGAAAUUCUUGGAUUUAUUGAAGACUAACUACUGCGAAAGCAUUUGCCAAGGAUGUUUUCAUUAAUCAAGAACGAAAGUUAGGGGAUCGAAGGCGAUCAGAUACCGUCGUAGUCUUAACCAUAAACUAUGCCGACUAGGGAUCGGACGAAGUUAAUUUUAUAAUGACGCGUUCGGCACCUUACG
rnacentral:rRNA from 1 species